AUUUAUUUCUCCUGCAGAUUAAAAUAAGUUGCACUUGAGCCGACUGAAGCCGGAAUGACAGUUUCCUCAUUGCUGAUGACCAUCACCAUCAAGACGAGCGCAUCGACCAAUGUGUCGUGACCUCCCUGAAGAAGCCAAAAAGACAUUGCAGGUGCAGGAUCUUGGGGGCCAAGGUGGUUCUCUGCCACAAUGGAACUUGUCCUGGAAGCCACCCUGCAUGCAGAAUUUGGUGACGGUCAGCCUCGUACACGAUCUUGUUACUCACGCAGCGCUGGAAGAAGUCAAAAGGAUGUCAGUCUUUGACGCAGAUCAACUCAGACCUUGAAGCAGGAAAUCUGCUUCACUCGUCGGUCCAAGCCGGGUUCAGGUUCUCCAGGGCCAAGAUGCUUUUGCACCACCUAGUGGACAUGAGCGAAGAGUAGUGAAGAGUGUUCAAACCCAGCGAGGGCCAGCUGCAGCCUCAAAGUCCAGCAUCUCAGUCCUCAGGCAGCGGCGCUUCAAGUGGAGGUUGUCAUAACUGCACACAGAAGCAGGAUGUAAGGAAUGUUUGCUGCAAAGGCACAAUCUUCUACCAUCACCAUUGGAGAUGAAUGCAUUUUGGGUGUUGUGACAUGUUCCCACCUUAAUGAUGUCAUCACAGGAAUAAAUCUGUUAGCUUUUGC